ensembl:lincRNA
AUGUCAUCUCCUAUGACUGGCAGUGUCCAAAAGAUAAAAGUCUUACCUUGGGAGGACAUCCAUUGUUCCUUCUUCUCAUAUCCAUGUACCAAAAGACAUCUGUCCACUAAAGCUUCUUGGUCUCUCAACCUGCUAGGGGCCACACCCAUGAAGAAUCUGUCAGUAGUUCUUCAGCCAGGAUGGGGCUCAUAUCCUGCCCCGCCCCCAUCUGUGCUGGAAUGCUGCCUGCCUUGAUCGUGGGCAGACCUUAGGCAGGCCGCCACAGCCGCUCUGAGUCCACAAGUGUGAUCCUAGGUCACGUUCAGAAGACACAGAGGCUCCGGCCAUCUUUCCAUCUCCUUGUCUGGGAUGUCCCCUGAGCCUUGACAGGAGGGUGUGUGAUACAGAUACCCCGCUUAUGUCUGAGCACUGCAUAGACAUUUAUUCUCUGCAUUUGACCUGUCUGCUUUCCUUGGUGUGCUUACAAUGGUCUGUGCUCUAAUGGAGGCAUCUGUUUUCAAUACCGGCUUGGAAAUAAUACUACAUAGGAAACAGCCCGAAUCUUCUUACCUUGGUGUUAGCGGCGCCCACCACAGUGGCUGGAAGCUGGAAGACUACCGACUCAUUCACCACAUCCCUCAGCUUCCUUUUCUGAGAAACAUGGUCUGUGGCAUGAUCUCUGCAGCCAUCCAGUUUGGGAUAUGAAUCCUAGUUGUGUUGCUUACAAAUGGGUUUUAGCUGGGUCACUUAAUGUCUUAGUUUCUUAAUGGAGGUCAGACCAACCCCACAGUGUUAUGGAUUAAGUGUGAAAUUGUGGUACUUAGCAGGGCCAGGCACAGAGCUCAUCCAGUACAGGGUAGCUGUGAUGGCUUGCCCACGGUGUCCAAGUUAUCUUGACAGUCUAUGCUUGGCUCCAUGAGGCUGUAAGACCAGCAUCUUGGAACAGAGAGUCUAGUAUUGCAGAAUAAAUCCACCUGAGAAGCAGGGCACUGACUGCGACCCUGUUGGCACUUUGCUUAGUCUAACUGCAUUUGAAGAUGGAGAGGAUACCUCGAGUGUGUGCUGUCUAGAGAAGCAAGAAAAGUCAACUGGACCAGGAACAGUUAGUGAGUCACUUCUAGUUGCAUUUCACACAGGCAGGUCUUCCCUUUCCUCGGCGAUGGCCUUGACUGCCAUCCCUGGCGACUGUUAAUAAAUGUCACCAUUUGCACUCCCCCAGUGCAUUUAAGUUUCACUAGUUCCGUAUUUCCCGGCCAAGGACCCAAGUUCAUCAAGCCAGUUUGGAAAAGCAGCGAUGGAGGCACAAACCAUAACUGUCAUUAACAGAAAGGCUUUGAAACUGAAGACACAGAAGGCAAAUGAACAGACCAUUUAAUCUUGUCUCUACUCUACUUUAGCCAUUUAAUCUCUGCUUUGGCUCUAUACAUCUGGGAAGUAUAUCAUUUUCUAAACAUUUUAUCAUAAAUGUUCAGCUUUUCUCACCAACGGCUGAUCUCAUAUGUGCUUAGCAAGUAUUCGCUCAUAAUGCUAAAGGAAGACUGAGAGACGGUUUUGGUUUUGGCUAAGCCAGCAUUCAAGAUGAAAUGCUGGAGGGUUCUGCAAUUGAUUUCAACAGUUUAACUUUACACUACUAAGGAAACAGUCCUGGAGGUGAAAGGGUUUCAGGUAAGAAGCCCCACUUGCAGGUUUGAUUUGUUUUGUUGAGGAACCCUGAUAAGGUGGCCUCUGCACGCAUUCCUAUUGCUCUGGUUUGACUCAGUGCAGAAGAGCCACCAGCAGUUUCUGGAAGUCCCCAGAGGUGUCUGAGCGAACCAUGUCAGAGAGAGACUUCUGAUACUUCUCCUGGAACUUGGCUUUUAUCCCCUGAAGGUCUACCUGUAGGGAUAAUGGCAACAGCAUGAGUGUCAACACUCAGAGUGUGUUUGUUAGGAAGGGCAGACACUGUCAUCCGCCAUCAUACUCAUUUGUUAUAUCAUUAAACGGCCCUGAGGGCUCAGCUGGCAUUAUUUCAGCCUGGGGGUAAGGAAAGGGAAGCCUACUUUAGCUUCCUAAAAGUAGAAGUGUCACACAUAUAUUAAAUUGGGAUUUUAUGUCUGGAAGUAAAAUUUAAAUUGCAUAUGUUUUCAUGUCUCACAGAAUGUUUUUCUUCUGAAUUCUUUGUAGGUAUCUGAGCAGGAGUCAUUCUUGGGUAACAAAGCUAUACACAUACAAGAGGGAGGUGGACCCCGUUUGCUUUCCAAGACAGUCUGACAGCAUUCGGUAGAAGGGUAAUCCUUUUCAGAUGGAGGUCUGAAAUUAAGCAUUGCAGCUGGAAAGGUGACUCAGCAGUUAACGCUGAAUAUUCUUCCAGAGGACCCAGGUUCUAUUC